rnacentral:rRNA from 1 species
GACGUAGGGGGCGAGCGUUGUCCGGAUUUAUUGGGCGUAAAGAGCGUGUAGGCGGCCAGAUAGGUCCGUUGUGAAAACUGGAGGCUUAACCUCCAGCGGUCGAUGGAAACCAUCUGGCUAGAGUCCGGAAGAGGAGAGUGGAAUUCCUGGUGUAGCGGUGAAAUGCGCAGAUAUCAGGAAGAACACCCGUGGCGAAGGCGGCUCUCUGGGACGGUACUGACGCUGAGACGCGAAAGCGUGGGGAGCGAACAGG